AACCUUAUGGACCUGCGGGCGUAUACCUGCGGAAGGAUCAUUACCGAGUUUACAACUCCCAAACCCCUGUGAACAUACCUAUACGUUGCCUCGGCGGAUCAGCCCGCGCCCCGUAAAAAGGGACGGCCCGCCCGAGGACCCCUAAACUCUGUUUUUAGCGGAACUUCUGAGUAAAACAAACAAAUAAAUCAAAACUUUCAACAAUGGAUCU
rnacentral:misc_RNA from 1 species